GUGCUCGCUUCGGUAGCACAUAUACUAAAAUUGGACCGAUACAGAGAAGAUUAGCAUGGCCCCUGCGCAAGAAAAUCGAUUUUAAAUUGGAUUGCCUGGUAAAA